GACGUAGGGCGCGAGCGUUGUCCGGAUUUAUUGGGCGUAAAGAGCUCGUAGGCGGUUUGUCGCGUCUGCUGUGAAAACGCGAGGCUCAACCUCGCGCCUGCAGUGGGUACGGGCAGACUAGAGUGCGGUAGGGGGAGAUUGGAAUUCCUGGUGUAGCGGUGGAAUGCGCAGAUAUCAGGAGGAACACCGAUGGCGACGGCAGAUCUCUGGGCCGUAACUGACGCUGAGGAGCGAAAGCGUGGGGAGCGAACAGG
rnacentral:rRNA from 1 species